GGGGAGGGACUUCGGAGGGCGGGUUCCUACGCGCCACGCCUCCAGGAAUGACCUCAUAGCCCAGGCAGCUCGGCUCGGCUCUGCCUCGAAGACCCCUCCUCUCUUGGGGAACAGGUCCGAGCGCGUGCGCAUGUGCACCAGCGUGGCCGCAAGACCGGAUGCGGAUGCGGGGAGAGAGGCCUGGCGGUGAGGCGGAGGAGCCCCAGCUACAGUUCAGAGAAGCAUUCCGGGCACGGAAGAGAACCCCCGGGAUGAAGGCCGUUGCCCGCCAGGCUCUGCAUGACCGGCCUUAUCUUAAGGUCUUGUUACCCCCCGCUGCUAUACAGAUUCUAGUAUUGGUCCCCUAACGUCUGGAAACUGACGGGAAGGCCUCCGGCGGUUAGGGAUCCAGGCCUGUUGAACGGGUGGAUCUUUCGCACUGAGUGCAUAAUAUACCCCUCCCUCAUUGUCAACGCCCCCCGCCCCGCCAUCUUCGCGCAUUUAACAAAAGCCUUAAACACU